AUUGAACGCUGGCGGCAGGCCUAACACAUGCAAGUCGAACGAGUGGCGGACGGGUGAGUAAUGUCUGGGCAACUGCCUGAUGGAGGGGGAUAACUACUGGAAACGGUAGCUAAUACCGCAUACCAUCGGAUGUGCCCAGAUGGGAUUAGCGAGUAGGCGGGGUAAAGGCUCACCUAGGCGACGAUCCCUAGCUGGUCUGAGAGGAUGACCAGCCACAUUGGGACGGGGACACGUCCCAGACUCCUACGGGAGGCAGCAGUGGGGAAUAUUGGACAAUGGGCAAAAGCCGGAUCCGGCCAGGCCGCUUGUGUGAAGAAGGUUUUCGGAUUGUAAAGCCCUUUAAGUUGGGAGGCGGUACCAACAUAAAAAGCACCGGCUAACUUCGUGCCAGCAGCCGCGGUAAUUC
rnacentral:rRNA from 1 species